rnacentral:rRNA from 1 species
AUUGAACGCUGGCGGCAGGCCUAACACAUGCAAGUCGAGCGGAUGAAGGGAGCUUGCUCCUGGAUUCAGCGGCGGACGGGUGAGUAAUGCCUAGGAAUCUGCCUGGUAGUGGGUGAUAACGUCCGAAAACGGGCGCUAAUACCGCAUACGUCCUUAGGGAGAAAGGGGGGGAUCUUCGGACCUCACGCUAUCAGAUGAGCCUAGGUCGGAUUAGCUAGUUGGUGGGGUAAAGGCCUACCAAGGCGACGAUCCGUAACUGGUCUGAGAGGAUGAUCAGUCACACUGGAACUGAGACACGGUCCAGACUCCUACGGGAGGCAGCAGUGGGGAAUAUUGGACAAUGGGCGAAAGCCUGAUCCAGCCAUGCCGCGUGUGUGAAGAAGGUCUUCGGAUUGUAAAGCCCUUUAAGUUGGGAGGAAGGGCAGUAAGUUAAUACCUUGCUGUUUUGACGUUACCAAAAGAAUAAGCACCGGCUAACUUCGUG